CGCACUGGGAUUCCCUCCUAUGAUUACAAACAAAACUCAUCGAUUAUAACGGCUUUCCUCUUAUCACAUUGAAGUCAGAGUAAAAGGUUGCUUGCUCGUCAGCCUGUAAGACUCAGUUACGCGCACGCAAUUGUUUGAGUCAGUAUUAAAUUACAUCUUCACAAUGAAUGUCAAGUUCAGCAUUUUGGUUGUGCUCCUAGGAGUUGCAUUGUCUUCAGCCUUCGUGUGCCCCAAAAUCAACAGAGCGAAUGAUUUUCAUCCACAUGAAACGGAUAACAGCAAAUAUUACAGCUGUACAAGAGGCGUCGCAACGGAGGAAACUUGUGCAAACAGUUUGAUUUUCAGCAAAAUGACGAACAAGUGUACCACUGUGUGGACCGAUGCGCCAAUCAGCGCUGGAAGUCGAUCCAUAGAUUCAACAACAGUGUCGGAUUUGGACCCAUAUUAUUAAAUAAAGGAUCAUUAAAAACAGUGAUAGUAA